rnacentral:lncRNA from 1 species
GCCCUCAGUCAUGAGGAAUGCUCUCUGCAUCAUCUGGACAUAGCCAGCAGCCUUUUGACACUUCUGCACCUCCUGAAGCUCCAUUGUUCCACUGAAGGAAAAAGCAUCUCCCCAACCAUUGUGGCGCCCCCUCGUCUGUAGGGCGUAGAAAACAUCUCAGGUGGCAUCUGCUUGUCAUGCCAGUAAGGUUGGAAACCAUCAGGACCAUCAAGGUUGCAUUUUUUUACAGGAGAAAAAAAAAGGUUAUAUUUUUUUCUCAUCAGAUAAUUUUUUUUGAAGCUCUUCACCACUAAUGGCCUUAAUUCGGGUUGAGGAUUUUUUAGGUCUUCCACUUCACGGUUUUGUUCCAUAACCCCCAGGAUUAUUUAAGAAAUGACCGUCUUAACUGCAUCCCACCUCAGCAGCGAUGGCGCGCUGUGAGCGACCCUACUUAUGCAGUUCAACAAGCCGACCAUGUUCAAAAAGGAAAGUUUUUUUGCUUUUGCCAUCAGAACAUCCUGACAGUCUGACUACCUGACAGAAAAUGACAAUGAAUCCACAGUUUUGCACAGAUUUGGCCUUUUAAAGGAAUGUGGUCCUAAACAUUUGAUCAGCUGUAAAACAGCCUGUCCCAGUUUAAGUUGGUGAAAUGUAAGUUAAAUGUUUUCUCUCACUCCCAUUUCUGCUUGUUGCAUGUUGUUGGAACCUUGUUAAGAUCCAACCAUGCAAAAGAUGAUUUUUUGCCAUUUUUCAAGUGGUCUUAAACUUUUGAUUGGGACUGUAUUUAAUGAUCGAUUAGUUUCUUCUGAAUGGAUUAAGAAUGCUUUAUGUCUGCAUUGCAAUGCAUCACAAUUGUAAAUCAUUAUACGAUUAAUUGUGUCAGCUCUAUUAGAUGUAAGAUUGUAUAUUUGCUUUUGAAAUGGGCAGUUUGCUUUAUUGUGCUUUGUAUUUGCUUUCAGACUGCAAGGAAAGAACGCUAAUCUACACCGAGCAUCUGAAGAACAACAAACCAGUCCUCCAGCACAUUGAAUCCAAAACCUGUUCCAGUUCCUCAGACACCAUCAGAGACUGUUUUGAAAGCCCUCUACUAUCAAUCUGGAUAAAAAGAAACUUUGCCAACCACUGCAAGGCAUUUGAAUCACUGAAGUCAUCUUCACCACCUGCUCUUCCAGACGACGGACUCGUGCCUGAACACCUGCAGUUAACUAACCGACCACUGAUCAGUAAGGUAAAAAAUAAGGUAUAUAUCCUCAUUUGGAAAAUUGUGAAUUCAAGCUUAGGAGGGAUAUUAGGCCCCUUAUGUCAAACUGAGUGAUUUAUGGCCCCCAAUAAAUUAUUCAUGAGCUCAGGAAGUAAAGGAAGUAAUAAAGGAAGUAAUAAAAAUAUGAUAUUCAUAAAAAUAUGAUAUUCAUAAAAAUUAUGAUUUUCAUAAAAAUUAUGAUAUUCAUCCAAAAUAUGCUAGUUCAUAGCUCAUUGCUUUUUCUUCCCCCUAAAAAGAACUAAUUGAUUAUUUAGAAAGUUU